UACGUAGGGUGCAAGCGUUGUCCGGAAUUACUGGGCGUAAAGAGCUCGUAGGUGGUUUGUCGCGUUGUUCGUGAAAACUCACAGCUCAACUGUGGGCGUGCGGGCGAUACGGGCAGGCUAGAGUUCGGUAGGGGAGACUGGAAUUCCUGGUGUAGCGGUGAAAUGCGCAGAUAUCAGGAGGAACACCGGUGGCGAAGGCGGGUCUCUGGGCCGAUACUGACGCUGAGGAGCGAAAGCGUGGGGAGCGAACAGG
rnacentral:rRNA from 1 species